CGAGAACAAAGCUGUAGGAGAUUUCAUUAAAGCUUGGCUUCAUUCCUAGCUUCAUGGACUAGUAAAUGACCCGAAAGAUCACCUCCUCCAGCCCCUGCUUCUAGUGCGUGUGAUGUUUAAAUAAUUCAAAAAGAAAAAAAGAAAAGAGAAGACAAGAAAAAAGAAUGUUUCCACCAUUCCCAACACUGCCAUUUACCUUGGAAUGAAUUAAACACCCGUUACAUAGACUUCCUUGACGUCUUCUCUGCUGUCUCAGGACAUGCCGAUGCAGGGCUGAUGAUAUCUCAGUGGAGAAGAAACAUGCGGCUGCUUGGGCUCUACAUGAAAUCAUCAUCUUCUAAGUCACAAUGAAGAAGUCUGGACGUUUACCUAAAAUUCAGAUUUUAAAAAAGCUAAGUUUAGUUUGAUUGAUUAUUCCUGCUAAGUAUGUACCACACUCACCCAAGACACUGACAACAAGGUUUAACUCAACAUAGUGUAUAAGGACUAUGAAGAAUAGAAACAUUAAUAAAAUAUGGAUACUGUCAGAGAGAUGCUUACUGUGUAGAGAAGGCAACACAUCCAGAGGGACCUAAAAAGGAAGGCAGAAUAUGAAACAAGGAGAUGUCUAGGGAAGAGGAAUUUAGGUUAUUACCACAUCUUUUGAAGAAUUUUUUUUUCUUUCUUUUUUUUUUUUUGUAGGCUAGCAGGCAAAG
rnacentral:lncRNA from 1 species